GACCCUUCUUCAGACUGAUGUUUCAGAUCGUGAUCCUUCUUCAGAAUUGGGUAUUUGGUCUUCUGGAAGUGUAAAUUUGAAUCUCCUGUUUUUCAGGACCUCUGGACUAAAUAGCUCCUGAAGUGAUUCUGGAAGUCACAGCUGCCCUUGCAACCUCUGCCAGUUUCACUUUACCAUCGCCAGGGAGCGAAGCCCUGCAUGUCCGGUGUCUUGCCAUGCGAACAACGUAAUGACGUGCAUGCGCACUGGCGGAUCUUCUUCACGGAAUCACUCACCAGGAAAGUUUGGAUUCCAAAGAUGUAACCCUACUAUGGUGGAAGUCACGAUCUGUUGGCUCAUCAUUUUAAAACUACGACUUGUUCAGAUCACUAGGACUGCUGAUCUAUCACCUGAGUGAAGGAGCUCUGGGUCAGAGAGCAGAAAUUUGCUAUACUGCUGAAGAGCUAAACCACUGCUACCCUUGUUCAGCCCUCCCAGGACCACGGACAAUGCAGCAACUUUCCCUUUUCUCUGCAACCUAUGUUCAUCCUUCCACUCUGUGCAUCCAGGUAUGAGAGGGACUGGAUUGUGCAGAAACUUGAAAUCGAGACUUGUUCUAUAUUAUUUUCUGAAGACUUCAGCAACUUUAAAGAACUCUGGGAAAGAAAAUCAAAGGUAAAUGUUUCGUUUGAUUUCUAAGCAAAUCUCCAGGACAGGUGGCGACUGUUGAUGGGCUUUGUACACAACCUCCAUGUAGGAGUGACCAGACCAAUCAAAACAACAAGUUGCUUUAGAAGCCUCAGUUUGCUCGGGGAUCUACGGGGAAUUACGUGCAACACAUCAUUUUUAGAGGUGCAAUAUUUUUACAAAUAAAAUGUGUGAUAUUACUACAGGUAUUUGCAAACCAAAAUUGGCAAAGCAAUUUUAUACAGAUGGUGAUGGUGCAAAAUACACAAAAUUCAUCAGGUAAUCAGAUCGACCCUGUAGCCUUUGUGUAAUAUUCACUAUUGGAUACAAGGAUUGAAGCAUUAGAUUAACUCAAAAACAGGAUUUAUUUUGGCAAAUAACAAGUCUUCAUGCAAGGAAAUUAAUAGAUUAUAAUGUGUGACAUGUUGCUUUAGAUUUUUUCUAUCAACAGUAAUGUGGAGAUGAAACUAUAUGUACCGCAGCUUGUACUCUACCUUUUAUAUAUGUUCCUGACAAUAAAGCAGUAUAAACUAAAAUACAUCUGCAGCAAACUUCUCUUCACAUUAAUUAAUGUCAGUGAUGGCUUAUUCCUAACUAGUGCAUGAGUGUAAGUGUAUAAUAUUGCAACCAUAUACCCUGAUGCAAGUGUUGAGGGAGUGAGGGGAAUUUCAUGCUUCCUGGUUAUCUCGGAGCAAUAGAUUCAGUCAUGAUUGGGAAUGAUAAUGGUGACAAUAUGCUCAGAAAAUAAUAGAGGAAGAAUAGAACAUAUAACACAGAACAGUCUGCUUUGAUCUGUUGUUUUCACACCUUGCCCCUCCAUAUCUCUAGACUACCCCUCGCCUGACUCACAGUCUGAAGAAGGGUCUCGACCUGAAAUGUCAUCCAUUCCUUCUCUCCAGAGAUGCUGCCUGUCCCGCUGAGUGACUCCAGCAUUUUGUGUCCAUCACUAAUUGACAUUGUUGGCUAAUAAGACAGGACACUGCAGCAAGGUCAGUCGUACAUCACACAGUUCAUAAACUAACAGGAAACCUAGUCAGGUGAACU